UACGGGGGGGGCAAGCGUUGUUCGGAAUUACUGGGCGGAAAGGGCUCGUAGGCGGCCAACUAAGUCAGACGUGAAAUCCCUCGGCUUAACCGGGGAACUGCGUCUGAUACUGGAUGGCUUGAGGUUGGGAGAGGGAUGCGGAAUUCCAGGUGUAGCGGUGAAAUGCGUAGAUAUCUGGAGGAACACCGGUGGCGAAGGCGGCAUCCUGGACCAAUUCUGACGCUGAGGAGCGAAAGCCAGGGGAGCAAACGGG
rnacentral:rRNA from 1 species